rnacentral:rRNA from 1 species
GUCCACGCUGUAAACGAUGCUCACUAAAUGUUGGAGUUGCUUGCAACUUCAGUGUUGAAGCUAACGCGAUAAGUGAGCCGCCUGGGGAGUACGGUCGCAAGGCUAAAACUCAAAGAAAUUGACGGGGGUCCGCACAAGCGGUGGAACAUGUGGUUUAAUUCGACACUACGCGAGAAACCUUACCUAGGCUUGACAUGUAUUUGCUACUGUUGGAAACAAUGGGUUCCAGGGUAACCUGGACGAAUACACAGGUGCUGCAUGGCUGUCGU